rnacentral:rRNA from 1 species
AUUGAACGCUGGCGGCAUGCCUUACACAUGCAAGUCGAACGGCAGCGGGGGAGAAGCUUGCUUUUCCUGCCGGCGAGUGGCGAACGGGUGAGUAAUACAUCGGAACGUGCCCUGUAGUGGGGGAUAACUAGUCGAAAGAUUAGCUAAUACCGCAUACGACCUGAGGGUGAAAGUGGGGGACCGCAAGGCCUCAUGCUAUAGGAGCGGCCGAUGUCUGAUUAGCUAGUUGGUGGGGUAAAGGCCUACCAAGGCGACGAUCAGUAGCUAGUCUGAGAGGACGAUCAGCCACACUGGGACUGAGACACGGUCCAGACUCCUACGGGAGGCAGCAGUGGGGAAUUUUGGACAAUGGGCGAAAGCCUGAUCCAGCAAUGCCGCGUGUGUGAAGAAGGCCUUCGGGUUGUAAAGCACUUUUGUCCGGAAAGAAAUGGCUCUGGUUAAUACCUGGGGUCGAUGACGGUACCGGAAGAAUAAGGACCGGCUAACUACGUGCCAGCCGCCGCAGUAA